UGGGGAAUUUUGCACAAUGGGGGAAACCCUGAUGCAGCGACGCCGCGUGAUUUAGAAGGCCUUCGGGUUGUAAAAAUCUUUUUUACGGGAUGAAAAUGACAGUACCGUAAGAAUAAGGUCCGGCUAAAUACGUGCCAGCAGCCGCGGUAAUACGUAUGGACCGAGCGUUGUCCGGAAUCUUUGGGCGUAAAGGGUACGUAGGCGGCCUAGUAAGUUAGAAGUGAAAUAAUAUAGCUCAACUAUAUAAAGCUUUUAAAACUGCUAGGCUUGAGAGAUGGAAGGGAAAGUGGAAUUCCUAGUGUAGCGGUGAAAUGCGCAGAUAUUAGGAAGAAUACAGGUGGCGAAGGCGACUUUCUGGUCAUCAUCUGACGCUGGGGUACGAAAGCGUGGGUAGCAAACAGG
rnacentral:rRNA from 1 species